rnacentral:miRNA from 7 species
ACGUGGCCUCACCAGGGCAGAGUAGAGGGGGAGGACCAACCCCUCAACCUGAUGGCCACGCUUUUUUUAAUGCACCCCAGGAUACCAUUGGCC